rnacentral:lncRNA from 1 species
GAAACUAUUAUAAUUUAGAUAUACUAGAAUUCUACUGAUUAUUAGUCUUUCGCCUUGAAUAGACUUUUAAUUGUUUCCUUGUUGCAUCAGAAACCUUUCCUCAAAUCCAGGACUUGAGCAAUUCAAAAUUCGUACAUCAGUUCAGAUAUAGAUCCAUCAAUGAAUCCGAGUUUAUUUUUCACAUACAACGCGAUUGUCAUUGCACGACUCUAAGAGGCAUAGUUAUCUUUGGUGAGCUGCUGCGAUACCAAAAUCAUUCCUGGACUAUCAGAAUGAUGCAAAAGCAUGGACUUGAAGUAUAAUCAACUGAUAACUUGUUCAUUGAUGUUCUUGAAUCUUUUGAUUGCUGUGGCUCCAUCUGAAAUCAGUUGCCAGAAUCAACAAUUGAUUAAAAAAUAAAAAAAUGAGCGAAGAAUUAGUAUGAGG